rnacentral:rRNA from 1 species
UACGUAGGGUCCGAGCGUUGUCCGGACUUACUGGGCGUAAAGAGCUCGUAGGUGGUUUGUCGCGUUGUUCGUGAAAACUCACAGCUCAACUGUGGGCGUGCGGGCGAUACGGGCAGACUAGAGUACUGCAGGGGAGACUGGAAUUCCUGGUGUAGCGGUGGAAUGCGCAGAUAUCAGGAGGAACACCGGUGGCGAAGGCGGGUCUCUGGGCAGUAACUGACGCUGAGGAGCGAAAGCGUGGGGAGCGAACAGG